rnacentral:rRNA from 1 species
AUCCUGUUCAUCUGUCCGACGGUACACAUAUGGUAUGAAGUCGCAAUUAUGCGUUAAAUCCAUUGCAAGUGUGGUUAACGUUUAGCAGUAUGGAUCUGAUGCCAUCGCUGAUGUUGACCCACUGUUAGCAUGUGGUAUUCUUUAACUGACUUAAUACCGGUCAGCGAUGCUACUGCUUUGGGUACUUUCAGGACCCGUCUUGAAACACGGACCAAGGAGUCUAACAUGUACGCAAGUCAUUGGGACUCUAAAAUAAACCUAAAGGCGUAAUGAAAGUAAAGAUUGUUGUAUGACAAUUCAGGGAAGAUGGGGUUACGUUACGAUGUAGUCCCGCAUUCCCGGGGCA